rnacentral:rRNA from 1 species
GACGAACGCUGGCGGCGUGCUUAACACAUGCAAGUCGAACGGAAAGGCCCUGCUUUUGUGGGGUGCUCGAGUGGCGAACGGGUGAGUAACACGUGAGUAACCUGCCCGUGACUUUGGGAUAACUUCAGGAAACUGGGGCUAAUACCGGAUAGGAGCUCCUGCUGCAUGGUGGGGGUUGGAAAGUUUCGGCGGUUGGGGAUGGACUGGCGGCUUAUCAGCUUGUUGGUGGGGUAGUGGCUUACCAAGGCUUUGACGGGUAGCCGGCCUGGGGGGGUGACCGGCCACAUUGGGACUGAGAUACGGCCCAGACUCCUACGGGAGGCAGCAGUGGGGAAUCUUGCACAAUGGGCGGAAGCCUGAUGCAGCAACGCCGCGGGCGGGAAGACGGCCUUCGGGUUGUAAACCGCUUUCGCCUGUGACGGAGGGUGGAUGACGGUAAUGGGUAAAGAAGCACCGGCUAACUACGUG